UUUGAUCCUGGCUCAGAACGAACGCUGGCGGCAUGGAUUAGGCAUGCAAGUCGAACGAAAAGCUGAAGCUUGCUUCAGUAGACGAGUGGCGAAAGGGUGAGUAACGCGUGAACAAUCUGCCUCUAAGUUGGGAAUAGCCUCGGGAAACUGGGAUUAAUACCGAAUGUAGUCCUCUAUCGCAUGUUAGAGAGACUAAAGAUUUAUUGCUUAGAGAUGAGUUCGCGUUCCAUUAGCUAGUUGGUAGGGUAACGGCCUACCAAGGCGACGAUGGAUAGCUGGUCUGAGAGGAUGAUCAGCCACACUGGGACUGAGACACUGCCCAGACUCCUACGGGAGGCUGCAGUCGAGAAUCUUCCGCAAUGGGCGAAAGCCUGACGGAGCAAUGCCGCGUGCAGGAUGAAGGCCCUUGGGUUGUAAACUGCUGUCACCAGGGAAGAACACAAUGACGGUACCUGGAGAGGAAGCACCGGCUAACUACGUGCCAGCAGCCGCGGUAAUACGUAGGGUGCAAGCGUUGUUCGGAUUUAUUGGGCGUAAAGGGUCCGCAGGGGGUCUAUCAAGUCAGAUGUGAAAUCCCAUGGCUCAACCAUGGAACUGCAUUUGAAACUAUUAGACUAGAGUAUUGGAGAGGUAAAUGGAAUUUCUGGUGGAGCGGUGGAAUGCGUAGAUAUCAGAAAGAACACCGAGAGCGAAGGCAAUUUACUGGACAAUUACUGACCCUCAGGGACGAAAGCGUAGUAGCAAACAGGAUUAGAUACCCUGGUAGUCUACGCCGUAAACGUUGUAUACUAGAUGUGGGGGGAUUUAGUCCCCUCCGUGUCCAAGCUAACGCGAUAAGUAUACCGCCUGGGGACUACGGCCGCAAGGCUAAAACUCAAAUGAAUUGACGA
rnacentral:rRNA from 1 species